AUUGAACGCUGGCGGCAUGCCUUACACAUGCAAGUCGAACGGUAACGGGCCUUCGGGUGCCGACGAGUGGCGAACGGGGGAGUAAUACAUCGGAACGUGCCCGAACGUGGGGUAUAACGAGGCGUAAGCUUUGCUAAUACCCCAUACGACCUACGGAUGAAAGCAGGGGAAAGCAAGGCCUUGUGCGGCCGGACCGGCCGAUGGGAGCUUAGGUCGGUGGGGGGAUAGAGGCUUACCAAGGCGACGAUCGGUAGCGGGCCGGAGAGGAUGAUCAGCCACAAUGGGGGUGAGACACGGGGCAGGGGCCGGCGGGAGGCGGCGGUGGGGAAUGGUGGAGAAUGGGGGGAAGCGUGAUGGAGCCAGGCCGCGUGGGGGAGGAAGGGCUUCGGGUUGGAAAGGGCUUUUGUACGGAACGAAAAGCCUUCGUUUAAUACACGAGUGUCAUGACGGUACCGAAAGAAUAAGCACCGGCUAACUACGUG
rnacentral:rRNA from 1 species